UACGAAGGGGGCUAGCGUUGCUCGGAAUCACUGGGCGUAAAGGGCGCGUAGGCGGCCAUUCAAGUCAGGGGUGAAAGCCUGUGGCUCAACCACAGAAUUGCCUUUGAUACUGUUUGGCUAGAGACCGGAAGAGGUAAGUGGAACUGCGAGUGUAGAGGUGAAAUUCGUAGAUAUUCGCAAGAACACCAGUGGCGAAGGCGGCUUACUGGUCCGGUUCUGACGCUGAGGCGCGAAAGCGUGGGGAGCAAACAGGG
rnacentral:rRNA from 1 species